rnacentral:rRNA from 1 species
CAGUAGCCGCGGGAAUAUGAAGGGUGCAAGCGUUAAUCGGAAUUACUGGGCGUAAAGCGUGCGUAGGCGGUUUGUUAAGUCUGUUGUGAAAUCCCCGGGCUCAACCUGGGAAUGGCAAUGGAUACUGGCAAGCUAGAGUGUGUCAGAGGAUGGUGGAAUUCCCGGUGUAGCGGUGAAAUGCGUAGAGAUCGGGAGGAACAUCAGUGGCGAAGGCGGCCAUCUGGGACAACACUGACGCUGAGGCACGAAAGCGUGGGGAGCAAACAGGAUUAGAUACCCCCGUAGUCCCUGUCUCUUAUAC